AAAGACUCAAUUCCUGGGUUUUCGUGUCCUACGUUUGACUAUCCGUCUUAUAUGAAACUUUUUUAUGAUUAGUAUUUUCAUUGUUGUUAAAUGAUAAAACAUAAAUAAUACUUUAUACGUGAUUUAUCUUUUUAAAUUUUUUCAUAAUUUUUUCAAAUAAGACGAAUGGUCAAAUGUUGGACACGGAAACUCAGGAAUUGAGUUAUU
rfam:Oryza sativa Japonica Group DNA, chromosome 2, cultivar: Nipponbare, complete sequence.